GCUCCAGUGGCCUAGUGGUUAUAGCGUCCGCCUCAGAUGCGGUAGGUCGUUGGUUCGAGCCCCGGUCGAGUCA